rnacentral:rRNA from 1 species
UAGGGAAUCUUCCACAAUGGACGCAAGUCUGAUGGAGCAACGCCGCGUGAGUGAAGAAGGUUUUCGGAUCGUAAAGCUCUGUUGUUGGUGAAGAAGGAUAGAGGCAGUAACUGGUCUUUAUUUGACGGUAAUCAACCAGAAAGUCACGGCUAACUACGUGCCAGCAGCCGCGGUAAUACGUAGGUGGCAAGCGUUGUCCGGCUUUAGUGGGCGUAAAGCGAGCGCAGGCGGAAUGAUAAGUCUGAUGUGAAAGCCCACGGCUCAACCGUGGAACUGCAUCGGAAACUGUCAUUCUUGAGUGCAGAAGAGGAGAGUGGAAUUCCAUGUGUAGCGGUGGAAUGCGUAGAUAUAUGGAAGAACACCAGUGGCGAAGGCGGCUCUCUGGUCUGCAACUGACGCUGAGGCUCGAAAGCAUGGGUAGCGAACAGG